rnacentral:rRNA from 1 species
UGAGGAAUAUUGGUCAAUGGUCGGAAGCCUGAACCAGCCAUCCCGCGUGCAGGAAGACGGCCCUAUGGGUUGUAAACUGCUUUUCCAGGGGGCGAAACUUUCCGAUGUAUCGGGAUUUGACGGUACCCUGGGAAUAAGCAUCGGCUAACUCCGUGCCAGCAGCCGCGGUAAUACGGAGGAUGCGAGCGUUAUCCGGAUUUAUUGGGAUUAAAGGGUGCGUAGGCGGAUCGAUAAGUCAGUGGUGAAACCCUGCAGCUUAACUGUAGACUUGCCGUUGAUACUGUUGGUCUUGAGUGUGGUCAAGGUAAGCGGAAUGUGUAAUGUAGCGGUGAAAUGCUUAGAUAUUACACAGAACACCGAUUGCGAAGGCAGCUUACUGGGCCAUUACUGACGCUGAUGCACGAAAGCGUGGGGAUCGAACCG